CCUAAAACCUAAAUAUAUUCUCAACACCCUAAACCUAAACCUACAUCCUAAUCUCAACUCCUUUUUUUUUUUUGGUGCAUUUGGAUAUACCACCAAAUCAUAGUUUGAAGUUUUUCCAGACCACUAGCUUUGGUGGUACCCUAUCAAAUAUCUUUGGUAAAUGGGAAAAUCCAAAUGUGGCCUACUCAUGUGUUUGAAUGCACAAGUCAAUUGAAUUGCAAGUGUUCUAUCUGAUCAAGAGGAGAUAACGAUUCAAACCCUAGAUCCUCAAUAUGAAUGUUAAGGAAACUAAAAUAUGAUGUUUUUCACUUUAUUAGAUGUACGAUUGCAAUUCGAUUUGAUAGCACAUCCAAACACACCCUAAAUGUGCCGAUUCCAUUCAUUUGGUUCAAUUUUUUUCAACCGGGUAUAUUUUUAUUUCCUUAAAUUUUUCUUAUGAUUACUAAAAUAGAUACAUUCAAAUCCAAUGAGCAAUCAAAAUAGAUGUAACCUCAACUGCUAAUGGUAUAAGUGUUUCUAAGCCCAUGUAUUGGAUUGAAGUGAAUGUAUGAAUGCAACCUAUAUUUUUAUGUGCAUUUGCAAAGUUUUUAAGAAUGGGUACCAGACCAAACACUUUCAGUUACGCAGAACUGAAGACCGCCACCCAAGACUUCAAUCCUACAAAUAUGCUGGGUCAGGGUGGAUUCGGCCCCGUUUUUAAGGUCAGUUUGUUUUUAUUCUAUGUAAACUACAAUGAUCAUUAGAUUUAAAUGGUUCAGAGCCUCAGUAUGGUGAUUGCAUGCAUGUGGGGCCCAACUGUAGAUGAGGGAAGCCCACUCCCUGAUGGAACAAUCACAAACCCUUGAUAGGUAAUCUACGGAAAAAAAAAUGCAACCUAUGAAAAGAUGGUAAAGGAAAAUAAAAAAACCCCGGCAAUUGUUCACAUUCAAUGGAACAAAAGACAAUGAUCAAAUGGUUGGGAUCUUCAAAUUUGAGAGAUAUUUAGGUCAUCAGCCAUCUUUAAUACUACACGUCAGGUCCAUGGUUUGCAUCACAUCCAAAUCAUUCAAUUCCUUAGGUUGAGUAUGUGUAUGGAAAUUGUCAUACACUUUUCUACUACUACAAUUCCCAAAUGAAAAAUGCUUAAGGAAAACCAAUUGAUCUAAUUUGCACCACAAGGCACAUUACUAAAUGGGCGGAUAGUGGCUGUGAAACAACUCUCAGUAACAUCUCACCAAGGAAAGAGUCAGUUUGUAGCGGAGAUUGCUGCUAUAUCUGCUGUCCAACAACGAAACCUCGUGAAGUUGCACGGAUGCUGCAUCAAGGGAGCACAUCGGCUACUUGUUUAUGAGUAUCUGGAAAACAAGAGCCUCGAUCAAGCUCUCUUUGGAGAGAGUAAAUUGCAACUGGAUUGGCAUACCCGCUUUGAGAUAUGUUUGGGGACAGCAAGAGGUCUUGCUUACCUUCACAAGGAAUCCAAGCCUCACAUUGUUCAUAGGGAUGUCAAAGCCAGUAAUAUUCUGCUCGACACAGAUCUCAAUCCAAAGAUAUUAGAUUUUGGUUUGGCUAAGCUCUAUGAUGAUAAGAUGACCCACAUCAGUACAGGCGUCACAGGGACAAUGUAAGCAUUGAUGACACUUCCCAUUAGCCUUCCUCUCUUAAGGGCACGUUUGGAUGCUUGAUUGAACUAAAUUUCAAGAACUCAACUCAAUGUAGAGUGAAAGACCAAGGCAGAAGUCGUUCCAUUUCAUAUUUUCGAUGUUGGGGUUAGUUUGUCAUUAUGAAUGCAGUGGACUUUUACAGUUUGGUAAUUUC